CGGGAUGUUACCGGAGAACUGUUCGGCUGUCUAAUCAUGAAACACGGCGAGCGACGUUCUUAUCAAUUUACGUUUUAUUCGUUCAUUUUGAGUCACAGAUAUAAUAAUAUUAUACUAUAAUUGCACUAAUAUAAUUAUAUAGUAUAUAAUAUCUGUGUUUUGAGCACGAUUUUUUUGAAUCUUUAAUCUUGGUUUUAAGUACAAUUUACGAAUACAUUUUAUGCACCCACUCUUGAUACCAUGGUCAUCGUUAUCUCAGAGAUAAGGUCAAGUCAAAUACUAUAGAUUUAAAAUAGAAUCUACUAAUAUAAUAAUUUGUAUUAAUCUUUGUGUAAUACUUUUCUCAUUGUACAUAACUUAUUAAAUAUUUUGUAAAAAAAAUUAACCAUUUUUCCACGUUUAUUAAUAUCAUAAAACUUUUACUACACCAAGAUAUGAAUAACUAGGGAUAUCAAAUUAUUAUAAAAACAAUCAACAAAUCUUCUAGUACCCAUUACUCUGUGGAACAAACCUUGUUUUAGGAAUCCAGUUUAUAUAAUUCUUACAGAUAAUACACCAAAUACGCUAUAUUUGAAUUAUUUUGCAAAAAUAAUCUCUAUAAUUUUGGAUAACAAAAUCACUAACACAAUCACCCUAGAAUUUCUAGACUCUAGAUCAAGAUGCUUUGGUUGCAGUUCGUAAUGGAGUUUUUACUUUCUAGUGAACUUUCAAAUGAUCAACCAGCAAUUAUAAACUUGUCAGUUUUUACAAUCAUGCAAAAAAAACUUUGUUUACUUGAAGAAUUAUCAGUUAAAGAUCGUCAGAACAAAAAUAUUGUUAAAGAAAUUAAAACUAGGUAAAGUUCAAAAUCAAAUUACUUAUCAUUUACCUAUUUAAUCAGACAGUUUUAUAAAAUUAAUUAUAUUUUACUUAUCAACAACCUUAAAAAAGUAAUUCACUUUUUAUUCUUAAAUUAUUACUUUUGUAACAAAAACAUGAUAUUUGAGAAUGAAAAAUAAAAUUUAUGUGCCUAAUAUAAACUGUAUAUACUAUAUGAUAUACAUAUUUAUUGAACUAGCCUUAUAAAUAUAAUUUAGCUUUGUCUAUUCUUCCUAAUCCCUGAUAAUAUUUUGCUGUGGUCACUAAUAUUCAAUUUAUAUUGUGGUUAUCAAUAAAAAAAUUAAACUGUUUCUAGUUUGCUAUAAUAUAUUUUUAUUAAAAAUUAUAAUGAGAUAUUUUAUAAAAUAAAAAUAAAUAUGACUUACUAUUAAUAAUAAUUAAACUUACAAUAAUAAUAAAUUUAUACCAGAAAAUAAGUAUAUUUUGUAAAUGGAAGGUUUUUCACUUAUCUAUUUAUAAUAUAGCAUAAACAAAAACAAAUAGUUUUGUACUAUUAUUAUUGCUACCUAAAAUCAAUGAUUUUAAGUCAUCUAAUAAAUUUAAAAAAAAUUGAAAACUGCAUUAAUACAUCGUACAAAAUACAAAUCAAUUUAUUAAACACAAAUAAAUAAUAAUAUAAUAGGUACUCUUAUUUAUUUUAUUUUAUAAUUUAUUAUAUCAAAUCAAAAUUAGCUUAUGGUUGAUAAUAGAUAAUACGCUCAGAAUAUUAAAAAAAAAAAAAAAAAAAAAA